GUAGACAUGGCAAAAUGGUUCUUAUCAGAUGGUUCUGUACAGAUCUUAAGGUUCAAGACAGCUGCAAAACGACUCAAGACAAGAAGUUUCAAGAAGUUCACUACAUUCUUAAAGAGGACAUCUUUAAAUCUUAUCUCUUUUCAUCUGUAUUAUUAGCACCCAUGGAAAACGUAGUGAUGUUCCAAGAAUAGUAGACUGCUGUGAUGUUAUCUCUGAAGUUUGGGUAUUGAAGUUACUAUGAAGACAAGGGCUAGGCCUACCAUGUAUUUUGAGCAUUUUUAGAUGAUUUGAUGAGAAGAUAAAGCCAGAAAGCCAGAAUGGUGUCUCACAUGAGGUCACCACUGUGACUAUCCAAAUCACAAGGUGCACUGUGCCCUCGGUGGAAUAACAACAACUUGUGUCUUCGGAUGGGAAGUGAUGUCAUUGGACCUACUGGAGCUUUUUGAAGAUGGGAGCGACCACCUUGCGGUGUGCAAGAAGGAAAGUGAGGAGGCUUAUCGUGAAUUAACAAAUUGGCAGGUCCAUUCAUUCAUUGUGCAGCUCUCUGCGGUUCUCCUGCAGGUAUCCAUGGUAACAAUGUCGGACGUGCUCGGAAAAGGUGAUACUGGGACACGUUUCUCCCACCAACCCUCCAUACUGGCUAACGACUGAGUCAUAGCUGGAGCUGCAACACCACAGCAGGAGAGGUGCUGGAGAGGAGAGGCAGCUGUCUCCCGAGGAGGCGGGUGUGUGUGUGAAGAUGAGACAGAGCUGGGGCUGUGUGUAAAGGCCAGAGUACCACCACCGCCCACUCCGCUCGGAGCCUGCGGCUCCAUUUCACACAACACACAGCUCAACAGUCAGGCUGUCAAACUUCCACACAGCACUAACCACCCCUGUCCCAUGUGGCGGCUUUACACACGCACGCACAUGUGCGUGCACAUGCACAUGCGGGCGUACAAACAUACACACCAAUACCAAUACAUACUCUGCUGCCCUUGAUGACUGCACUGGCCUCUCAUGCAGACAAGGAGUGACAUGUAAUCACAGCUCGAGGAGGCCCAAACAGUGCUGUGGUCCCCAUUUCCAGGGAGGAAAACACUCCACAUCACUCUCUUUUCUCCCAUCUUUGAAAGAAAACAGGUUGAAAACAGGCUGGUAGCAGAGCCGAGCCUGGUGAGGAUGGAGGAGGCCGGUGGCAGAACCGGGCCGGGGUCCAGGCAUUGAACUCAGGGUGUGGCUGAGAAUCCUCCAUUUGUAAUUGAAAACGGGGAGUUUGCAGGUUUGGUCACAUUCCUUAGUGCUUUGGCUGGUCUGAUGCAUAUGAGUUGAUUGGAGUGAGGGAGGAGUCCCGGACUCGCGGUGCGCUGUAUUCCUACCAAACUUCAGUUACAUCUAUAUCCAUGAUGUGAAUAGUUACAUAAUAUUAAGGGAGAUUAAAGUCAAAUUUCCAAGAUAAGCAUCCACGUAAUUCAAAGUGUUGUAAACGACCACUUUACGUAAAAUGCAGCUUUGUCUAUUUUCUUACACAGAUAGGUCAGGUUGUGACAGAACAAAAUCAAGUUGCUUCGUACACCAACAUAAUAAAAACAUAAGAGCUGUAUGACUAAAGAUGAUUGACGUCUCAGAAUUAAACAGUGACAGAUUGUGACAGUGUGAAAAUAGUUACAUUUCAAUGCAGGGUGCCAGGUACAUGGCUUCCAUGAUCCUCCCCAGAAGCAGUUAAUUGCUAAAUUAUAAUUCAACUUCCUCUGAUGACUCAAUGCCUAGUGGUAAAGAAAUGUGGAGACAAUGUUGUCUGUACAACGUGAAAAAGAGAGCUUAUUAAUGGUUUGAACUUUUGUUUCUCAGGUAUUGCCAGAGAACAUCUUGUUUUUCUUCCAAUUUUCUCACUUGCCUCACUUCCUGAUGACCAUAUACAGUAUGUGGGAAAUAAUACGUACAAGCAAGUUAACUCUAUGGUGAUACAGACAACAAUUACGCAAAUGCAACUGUAACUACUACAGGUACACUGUACAGUACAUCAUGUCCAAAAAAUUAAGUAAAUUACAGAUAAAGCUCCACAUAUGAAUAUAAUGUGUCAGUCCAGUUAGUUCCUGUUUCCUCUAAACACACUGGAAGUUUGUCUCAAUGCUGACUAGAAGGGUUCAAAGUCAUUUUCUACACAUGAAAGGAAAACCUUUUGGUAGUGCAUCAACAUUUCCCUUCCUCCAUGGUUAAAUUGUUACCUUGGAAGUCCUGGAGAAAAAUAGGGGAAAUGUUGUUUAUGACUAGCUUCAAAACACAUGAUGUCAUCACUCUGCGGUGGCUCUUUGUUUCUGUCAAGACAGCUGUUGCUUAGUGUAGUUCUGAGGGCUGACUGUGGAGAGCCCCUCACACAGGUAGAGGAGAGGGACUCCCAAGGGAGGGGCCGCACACUGCUACUUUCACAGCAUUGUUUGCUUUUCCAGCUGCCUGCAGUCGAUGAAAACAUGGCCCCUCCUCUUCCUCUCCCAACCCCCAUUCUCCCUCCUUCCCUCUAUACACUCGUUCUCCUUCCUCGACCCCUCACAUCCCUGGAAGAAACGCAACAUUUGGCCUCAAAGUCUAACCUCACCUAUUGUUCACCGGCCAACGCUGACAUUGUCAGGCAUUGCCACGGAGAAUGACGUUGGAAUUUAGCUAGCCAAUAAACAACGGGAGAGGAAGCUUGCUCUGUUUGUUUUGUGUUGAAAACUCAUACACAGUCUCACAGUAUAGUCAU